rnacentral:rRNA from 1 species
UAUUUGUCAAUAGGCGCGAGCCUGAACCAGCCAAGUAGCGUGAAGGAUGACGGCCCUAUGCUUUGUAAACUUCUUUUAUAUGGGAAUAUAGUUUUGUAUGCAUAACAUUUUGUAUGUACCAUAUGAAUAAGGAUCGGCUAACUCCGUGCCAGCAGCCGCGGUAAUACGGAGGAUCCGAGCGUUAUCCGGAUUUAUUGGGUUUAAAGGGAGCGUAGGUGGAUUGUUAAGUCAGUUGUGAAAGUUUGCGGCUCAACCGUAAAAUUGCAGUUGAUACUGGCUGUCUUGAGUACAGUAGAGGUGGGCGGAAUUCGUGGUGUAGCGGUGAAAUGCUUAGAUAUCACGAAGAACUCCGAUUGCGAAGGCAGCUCACUGGACUGCAACUGACACUGAUGCUCGAAAGUGUGGGUAUCAAA